UGAAUUCUAAUUACCCUGUAACUUCCAGCUGGGGGAGCGGGGUGCGGUUUGCAGGACUCACACCUCCGGGCUAAAGAUUUCAUACUCCAGAAGUGUGAAGUUGAACGAAACCGCCAUGAUCUUGACAACAUUUUCCCACUUUGAAAAGAUACUAUCUCAAAGCUUCAUUGACAAAACUGUUAUGUCUGUGUUCAACUUGACUAACACUGGGGGGUGAGCAUUGACCUUAACAGCUGCAUAGCAUGCUGACACACACUGAGCUCUCCGUAAACGAUGGCUGAUGUUCUACUUGGGAUUAGAAGACGAGUGAAUUGUUCUGAGAAGUGAGAAAACAACCCCUUGUGGGACCUUUUGAACUGGUCUCCUUGGGCUAAGCGGAGACUUGCCGGUGGAAAAGUUGGUGAGACAUGGGCGUUUCAGGAUAGCCAGCCCCACUGCCUGAAGACAGCCAGUGUGUAGCAGUAGAAAGAGUGACUGUCCCGGUGUGGGGAGGAGUGAAUGUGGGAGAUCGGAAACAAAGCUUAAGUGUUUUGAAAUUUUCACUGUCUUUGCUCUGAAAGUCGGAUUUCUGGAUUGCUAUCCUUUUUUUUAAAAUUCACACACAUGAAAAUAAGGGUGAAAUUAUGUCAAUGGAGACUCUGUGCUGUUCACAUGACACAAGUGAGAAAAUAUCAUCUUUCUUUAAUUUCAUUUCCCUUGAAAAUAGUGGUUUCAAUUAAGUGAGAAAAAAAA